UCGGGGGGGGGGGGGGGGGGGGGAGUGCAGUGGAGAGAUAAGUUUAUUUGGCCUUCCAUCACAGCUAUGUGAUGGAUGUUUAUGUUAAAUGUAAUUAUGUUGUGUCUGGGGUCUAUUUGUGUGUAAUGUAUGGCUGCAGAAACGGCAUUUCGAUUGGACCUCCAGGGGUCCAAAUGACAAUUAAAUUGACUCUUGACUCUUGACCCUUGACUCUCUUGAGAACUCUAGGAUGAUCUGAUGUGAUGCUGACUGCUGCUGUGUGAUUUGUAUAUCUUGUUUGUAUGUGGACUUUGUCUUGUUAGUACAUGUUGAGUGUUGGCUCGAGGGGCUGAAUGGCCAACUCCUGCACCUAUGUCUAUUGGCUUUUGUCAAAGAUCCUUUCUUUGAAUCUGACAACAUAAAACAUGAACUCACUUCUUUCCCAUUCCACAGAUCCUGCUCAAAGGGCUUAGUAUUUCUAACAUUUACAUUUCUUGUGCUCCUGGUUAUUGAGGAUUGAAACUGGAGGGCAAUAUCCACUCUGUUGCCAGCAGUGCUCAUUCAACCAUUGUUCCAGGCUUAGACUAUGAUAGACAUUUGUCCAUUGUACAAUGGGAAGUAUCACAGCUGAAUCAGCUACUUUAUCAGCCAACCAUCAGCUCCCAUCUCCUGCCUGCGAAAUGUCAUCUGAUCGUAACCAAGAAAUAGAAACGUGUGUGAAUGUUUACAUCUCUAACUGAUGGCUACUGAGGCAAGUUGUGGCUCUCUGAUCUUUGUACUCGGUUUGUACUCGCUAGAAUUUAGAAGGUUGAGGGGGGAUAUUAUAGAAACUUACAAAAUUCUUAAGAGGUUGGACAGACUAGAUGCAGGAAGAUUGUUCCCGAUGUUGGGGAAGCACAGAACAAGGGGUCACAGUUUAAGGAUAAGGGGGAAAUCUUUUAGGACCGAGAUGAGGAAAACAUUUUUCACACAGAGAGUGGUGAAUCUCUGGAAUCUUCUGCCACAGAAGGUAGUUGUGGCCACAGUUCAUUGGCUAUAUUCAAGAGGGAGUUAGAUGUGGCCCUUGUGGCUAUAGGGAUCAGGGGGUAUGGAGAGAAGGCAGGUACAGGAUACUGAGUUAGAUGAUCAGCCAUGAUCACAUUGAAUGGCGAAUGGUGCAGGCUCGAAGGGCCAAAUGGCUUCUACUCCUGCACCUAUUUUCUAUGUAUCUAUGUUUUUCAGUGAGGUCAAUUAAUCUGGGAAAAAGAGACACAAUAUGCUGGAGUAACUCAAUGGGUCAGGCGCAUUCGCUGGAGAACAUGGAUAGGUGAGGUUUUGGUUGGGACCCUACUCAGACUAAAGGGCUGUGACCCGAAAUGCCACCUGCCUAACCUGCCGAGUUUCUCCAACACCUUGUGGUGAACUAUCAUCUGCAGUACCUUGCGUCUCGGUUAAUCUGGAUCACAAGUUAAACUCAAGACCCCUGAUCUAAAUUAGUCAGUGUGGUUAAUGCCUGGUAUUUGGGGAAGCUUUUGAAUGAUGCGCAUUUAUUCUACAAAUGUGAACGCUGUGUUUAUCACUUUGAUAGAGAUUGAACAUUCUAUAUUGACCUGGUAUAUUGGUGGAAUUAUCGGGAGUCUGGCUCUUCUCCUCGCCAUUAUACUGGCAGUGGUGUGGUGUCAAAGAAGGCGCAAGUCUCCAGAAACCAAUGUGACCCCAGUACCUGAGAUGAGCCGUGUUACUGAAUAUAUGUCUGAGUAGGAAGGCAAAGCAAGAAGAUAAAGAGGAAGGUAUUCACUAUGGAUCCAUCUCCUUAUAGCCUAAAGCAACUGGUGGCAGCAGCGAUAAUACAAUGUCCUCCAAUCAAGCAUCAGGCACUAACCUUGUUUCUUCAAAGGAAGAUGAGUCUGUCAUCUAUGCUGAAACAGCAAAAACAUAAACAUGGUGGAAAGUAAAGGCUUGGACUUUGAUAAGUGCAACGGUUCAAGUUUUGGAAUUUACUUUUUUAUUUCAUCCAUAUUAUUAAAACGAAGAUCUUGACCACAUUCUGACUUUCUGUAUCGUGAUUUCUGAAAGAACGCCGCCACUUACAGCCGUAAUUUUUGGUCACCUCGCUCAGGGUCCCCCUCCGCUGAGCUGGACCGGAGGCUUUUUCCCAUCGAUGAAAAAUCAGAGUUGUUAAUGUUUUAGUAUUGGUUGUGAGUGUUUGUGUUUGCAGAAAAUGUAUUGGUUGUAAAGUGUUUGCAAAUUUGGAGAUUUAAACGUUUGAAUCAUUCGGUUUACAUACUAUGUUUACCACGUUCUGAGGUUACUUGGCAUUUUAGUAUUGGAUUGUGUGUGUUAGUGUGUGAGUGACUGUGUGUGUGUGAGUGACUGUGUGUAUGUUUGACUGUGUGUGUGUGUGUGUGUGUGUGUGUGUGUGUGUGUGUGUGUGUGUGUGUGUGUGUGUGUGUGUGUGUGUGUGUGUGUGUGUGUGUGUGUGUGUGUGUGUGUGUGUGUGUGUGUGUGAGUUUGUGUGUGUGUGUGUGAGUGUGUGAGUGUGUGAGUGUGUGUGUGUGUGAGUGUGUGUGUGUGUGAGUGUGUGU